GUCCGCGCCGCAGCUACGCAUUACGUCCCCGCCUGGGGCGUCGGCCCAAGGCUAAAAUCAAAGGAAGGACGGGGGCCCGCGCAGCCCGGAGCAUGUGGCUAAUUCGACGCAACGCGUAAACCUUACCAAGGCUUGCCAAUACCGGCACGGCCAUAGCCGUCGCCCCCUCGUGGUCGGUUACAGGUGGUGCAUGGUUGUCGUCAGCUCGUGUCGUGAGAUGUUGGGUUAAGUCCCGCAACGAGCGCAACCCUCGUUCCCUGUUGCCCGUGAGUAAUGUCGGGGACUCACAGGAGACUGCCGGGGUCAACUCGGAGGAAGGUGGGGACGACGUCAAAUCAUCAUGCCCCUUAUGUCUUGGGCUGCACACGUGCUACAAUGGCCGGUACAAUGAGCUGCGAUACCGCGAGGUGGAGCGAAUCUCAAAAAGCCGGUCUCAGUUCGGAUUGGGGUCUGCAACUCGACCCCAUGAAGUCGGAGUUGCUAGUAAUCGCAGAUCAGCAUUGCUGCGGUGAAUACGUUCCCGGGCCUUGUACACACCGCCCGUCACGUCACGAAAGUCG
rnacentral:rRNA from 1 species